rnacentral:rRNA from 1 species
GAUCCUGCUCAGGACGAACGCUGGCGGCGUGCUUAACACAUGCAAGUCGAACGAAGAGCGAUGGAAGCUUGCUUCUAUCAAUCUUAGUGGCGAACGGGUGAGUAACGCGUAAUCAACCUGCCCUUCAGAGGGGGGACAACAGUUGGAAACGACUGCUAAUACCGCAUACGAUCUAACCUCGGCAUCGAGGAAAGAUGAAAGGUGGCCUCUAUUUAUAAGCUAUCACUGAAGGAGGGG